rnacentral:rRNA from 1 species
CCUACGGGAGGCAGCAGUGAGGAAUAUUGGUCAAUGGGCGGGAGCCUGAACCAGCCAAGUCGCGUGAGGGAUGACGGCCCUAUGGGUUGUAAACCUCUUUUGCCGGGGAGCAAAGUGCCGCACGUGUGCGGUUUGGAGAGUACCCGGAGAAAAAGCAUCGGCUAACUCCGUGCCAGCAGCCGCGGUAAUACGGAGGAUGCGAGCGUUAUCCGGAUUUAUUGGGUUUAAAGGGUGCGUAGGCGGAAGAUCAAGUCAGCGGUAAAAUUGAGAGGCUCAACCUCUUCGAGCCGUUGAAACUGGUUUUCUUGAGUGAGCGAGAAGUAUGCGGAAUGCGUGGUGUAGCGGUGAAAUGCAUAGAUAUCACGCAGAACUCCGAUUGCGAAGGCAGCAUACCGGCGCU